GUCUACGGCCAUGCUACUCUGAACAAACCCAAUCCCGUCUGAUCUCAGAAGAUAAACAGGGUCGGGCCUGGAUAGUACUUGGAUGGGAGACCACCUAAGAAGACGAGGUGCUGUAGGCA
rfam:Pteropus alecto contig168711, whole genome shotgun sequence.